rnacentral:rRNA from 1 species
CCUACGGGAGGCAGCAGUGGGGAAUCUUGCACAAUGGAGGAAACUCUGAUGCAGCGAUGCCGCGUGAGUGAAGAAGGCCUUUGGGUUGUAAAGCUCUUUUGUAGGGGAAGAUAAUGACUGUACCCUAAGAAUAAGGUCCGGCUAACUUCGUGCCAGCAGCCGCGGUAAUACGAAGGGACCUAGCGUAGUUCGGAAUUACUGGGCGUAAAGCGCGCGUAGGCCGUUGAGUUAGUUAAUUGUGAAAUCCCAAAGCUUAACUUUGGAACUGCAAUUAAAACUGCUCGACUAGAGUUUGAUAGAGGAAAGCGGAAUACAUAGUGUAGAGGUGAAAUUCGUAGAUAUUAUGUAGAACACCAGUUGCGAAGGCGGCUUUCUGGAUCAACACUGACGCUGAGGCGCGAAAGUAUGGGUAGCAAAGAGGAUUAGAUACCCUCGUAGUCCAUACCAUAAACG